AGUGAACGCUGGCGGUAGGCCUAACACAUGCAAGUCGAACGGCAGCACAGUAAGAGCUUGCUCUUACGGGUGGCGAGUGGCGGACGGGUGAGGAAUACAUCGGAAUCUACUUUUUCGUGGGGGAUAACGUAGGGAAACUUACGCUAAUACCGCAUACGACCUACGGGUGAAAGCAGGGGAUCUUCGGACCUUGCGCGAUUGAAUGAGCCGAUGUCAGAUUAGCUAGUUGGCGGGGUAAAGGCCCACCAAGGCGACGAUCCGUAGCUGGUCUGAGAGGAUGAUCAGCCACACUGGAACUGAGACACGGUCCAGACUCCUACGGGAGGCAGCAGUGGGGAAUAUUGGACAAUGGGCGCAAGCCUGAUCCAGCCAUACCGCGUGGGUGAAGAAGGCCUUCGGGUUGUAAAGCCCUUUUGUUGGGAAAGAAAAGCAGCAGGUUAAUACCCCGCUGUUCUGACGGUACCCAAAGAGUAAGCACCGGCUAACUUCGUG
rnacentral:rRNA from 1 species